GGAGGGCUCUGUCUCCCCUGUGCCUGGCCCGGUCACGGCGAGACCGACUCCGUAGACUGGGUGGAGGGACAGGUGGACAAUUCAGUUUAAACCCCGAGAAGGUGCCCUAGAAGGCCGGCGGGAACAGCUGGUACCUGCUUUAGCGUCAGCGUCGCUGGGGACCCAACGCUGCUGGAAGAUUUAACUGCCUGCUCCCCAUACAGCGUUUUGGCCAAUGAAAUGCCAGCAUGUUGCAGCUCACCCUCCAUGGACAUGAACACAGUGAGAAAUAAACCCUCACUGUAGUAAGCCACUUGAAUCUUGGGGCCGUUGGCAUAGUAUGCACUAGUGACAGCUGGCUGAUCCAGCACAUAAGAUCACGCACCGAGCACACCUUUUACAUUCCUCUGUUGCAUUCCAUCAAGAAUGGUCAAAAAUUACAUCAAUGGUGGGAAAUUUUUUUUAAUAGUUCUUAGAAUAUAAGCUGCAUAGCUUUUUAGAAUAAAAAAGGAUGACGUGACAGAACCUCAGGUACAUGCUUUAGGACACUUGGUUAAGUAACAAGCAGUCUGUGUCUUUGAUGACCACCUCAAAAGGGUGGCAAACUUCACAGUGUAACUUGAUAACAGAUGUGGAGACAGACAAUUACAUCAUGGCCUGUGGUCUACAAAAGAACAUUCUGACAGAACUUAAAGAGAACACAGCACACGGUUUCAAGUAUUCAAGCACUGCUUUCUGGGAAAGUAAAAACUGCCUAAAAACCGUUGAUGUAUUUUGACUGGACGAAAAAUAAAAUAGAUGUAGCUACUUAGUUCUUUUGGACACAGCAUUUCUUUCCCAGAGUAAGACUGGCUCAGUCCAGCUUGAAAGCAGUGUGAAGAAUGAUUCUUCCUCUUAACUGUUAAGAAAAAAAAUGAACUAAAGAAAUAAAUUACUACAACAACAAGGACUGUGGCACUGAGAGAAUGAAAUAAACAGGGGAAAUCAUCUUUCCAUCAUUGCAUAGUCUCCCGAAGCAGCAAAUGUGAAGAAGGACACUGAAAGCCACUUCAUUUUUAUACAGCACAAGGAUCACUGUUCUCAUUACCUGGGCUCCCCCAAUGUCUGGUGUCAGGUUGCUUUGUGAGAACACACACACCACAAGCUUCCUGCCCUUGAAGAGAAUGUGGUUCCUUUCACAUGAAGCACAUUAAGAAAACACACACUCAGACAUUUUAGAAAACGGCAGCUGUCUCAGGCACUUGACAGCUUUUGCAUACACACUGGGGGCUUGGCAAGGCAGAGCCUUAGAGCAGGGUCAAAGGGCAGCUCCCUUUACUCCUUUGUCCACAGAACUGGCGUGCGCCUGGCAGCCUCUCCUCAAGGCAGGCGUCCAGCGUCCCUGUGAGGGGAAGCAGGCGGUGUGGCCCCUAGGGGGAGGUGUGGCCUCUUCCCAGGGCUGGACUUUCAAGACAGGGUGGACGGGCAGCCCUCACCCAGGGACGAGACCAUUCACCCGCUGCUCCUUCGCUGCCCCAGGUUUGCUACAAGAACUGCAGCCCAGGCAAAGCAGGAGCCUGAGAGCUUUCUCCAGGCUCUGAAAUCAUAUUGUAAAAUAAAAUAUACAUUGCAAUAAAA